CGGAGGAUCCAAGCGUUAUCCGGAAUCAUUGGGUUUAAAGGGUCCGUAGGCGGUUUGGUAAGUCAGUGGUGAAAGCCCAUCGCUCAACGGUGGAACGGCCAUUGAUACUGCCAGACUUGAAUUACUGGGAAGUAACUAGAAUAUGUAGUGUAGCGGUGAAAUGCUUAGAGAUUACAUGGAAUACCAAUUGCGAAGACAGGUUACUACCGGUGGAUUGACGCUGAUGGACGAAAGCGUGGGUAGCGAACAGGAUUAGAUACCCUGGUAGUCCACGCCGUAAACGAUGGAUACUAGCUGUUGGUGGCAACAUCAGUGGCUAAGCGAAAGUGAUAAGUAUCCCACCUGGGGAGUACGUUCGCAAGAAUG
rnacentral:rRNA from 1 species